GAGGGUCAGUAAGGCAGGGAGAGGACCAACACAAUGGCACUGAUCCUCAAGAAAAUCAUUCUCAGCUUCUAAAGUUAUAAUAAUUCUCAGCUAAAGGAAGCAUACUGAACACAAUGUUGUAGAUGCAGCACUGAGGUGGCAUCUACAAGACCAUUCUCAGCUACCAGUAGGAGACUGCUAUUUAGGUAAGUAGGAAAAUUUGUUUAAAGUUGGCAACUAAAAAGCUCAGGGAGUUGUAGGGUAUCAGAGGGUUUCUUUUUUCCUUUUCUUCAGUUUCUAAGAGGAAUACUGGGCCAGGACAGUCUUGUCUGGGUAGGCUAUUAAUACAGUUUGGAUGUGUGUCCCUGCCCAACUCUCAUACUGAAAUGUAACCCCCAGUGUUGGAAGUGGGCUUGGUGAGAGGUGAUUGUAUCAUGAGGGUGAAUUUCUCGUGAAUGGUUUAGCACCAUCCCUUUUGCUACUGUCCCACCAAGUGAUAGUGAUGGUGAGUGAGUUCUCAUGAAUUCUGGCUGUUUAAAAGUGCGUAGCGCCUCCCGUCUCUCUGUCUUGC
rnacentral:lncRNA from 1 species